AUGCGUCCAAAGAUCUCAGAUUUCGACAUUGCAAGAAUAGUUGAAGUGGAUGAAAUGCUUGAGAAUGCAACUACAUGACAAUUGGAACAUUGGCAACUGUGAAGAUAUGCCAACGACGGUAGAGGUGAUGAAUAAUGUUGGCAAGUGAGAAUCAACUUCUAACCCAGCUAAAGCAACCUGUAAUUAAUGACAUCAACCUCAACUAUCAGUGAAGGAGAUUUAACUAUAGAAGAAAUGAGUCUCCCUGUGUGACAGGCUGAUGAGGUGAAAUGAGUUCCUUUGAUUCUUAUUGAUUAUACUUUUGUCAUGUCAAAGUUCAUAAAAAUCAACUUCUACAGAAAUCAUCACGAUCACAGAGAAUAUCUUGAAUAUUAAUGAUUGACCAGCAUUUUCAGUUA